rnacentral:tRNA from 1 species
GUAGCUGUAGCUCAGCUGGGAGAGUACCAGGUUGUGGCCCUGGGGGUCUUGUGUUCGAGCCCCAAUAGCUACC